rnacentral:tRNA from 1 species
GGGCCCAUAGCUCAGUGGUUAGAGCACGCGACUCAUAAUCGCUUGGUCGGGGGUUCAAAUCCCUCUGGGCCCACCA